AUUGAACGCUGGCGGCAGGCCUAACACAUGCAAGUCGGGCGGAUGAGAGGAGCUUGCUUCUCGAUUCAGCGGCGGACGGGUGAGUAAUGCCUAGGAAUCUGCCUGGUAGUGGGGGACAACGUUUCGAAAGGAACGCUAAUACCGCAUACGUCCUACGGGAGAAAGCAGGGGAACUUCGGGCCUUGCGCUAGCAGAUUAGCCUAGGUCGGAUUAGCUAGUUGGUGAGGUAAUGGCUCACCAAGGCGACGAUCCGUAACUGGUCUGAGAGGAUGCUCAGCCACACUGGAACUGAGACACGGUCCCGACUCCUACGGGAGGCAGCAGUGGGGAAUAUUGGACAAUGGGCGCAAGCCUGAUCCAGCCAUGCCGCGUGUGUGAAGAAGGCCUUCGGGUUGUAAAGCACUUUCAGCGAGGAGGAAGGGUUGUGUGUUAAUAGUACACAGCUUUGACGUUACUCGCAGAAGAAGCACCGGCUAACUCUGUGCCAGCAGCCGCCGUAACAC
rnacentral:rRNA from 1 species